rnacentral:rRNA from 1 species
UACGUAGGGUGCAAGCGUUAAUCGGAAUUACUGGGCGUAAAGAGCUCGUAGGCGGUUUGUCGCGUCUGCUGUGAAAACCCGAGGCUCAACCUCGGGCCUGCAGUGGGUACGGGCAGACUAGAGUGCGGUAGGGGAGAUUGGAAUUCCUGGUGUAGCGGUGGAAUGCGCAGAUAUCAGGAGGAACACCGAUGGCGAAGGCAGAUCUCUGGGCCGUAACUGACGCUGAGGAGCGAAAGCAUGGGGAGCGAACAGG